UCGCCUCCCGUGAUCCUCCUGCCUCAGCUUCCCAAACUGCUGGGAUUAUAGGUGUGAGCCACCAUGCCUGGCCCAGAAGCAUCUCUUGAUCCUCCUGACCAGAUCUGAAGAUGUUACCCCAUCCAGAAGCCACCACACUCUGUGACAGUGGGAGGUUUGGGCCAGCUUUGAGAAUAGUAAGGAUCCCAGGAUGAUGGUUCACAAACUGUUUCCCGGGUUAGCUACUUCUGACUUUUGAAAGCUUCAAGAAACUGGGUCUGAGCAUUUCAGUGGCUUGUCCAGAGACACCCAGUUUGUGACAGGACCAGGAGGAAAACACAGUGCAGUUCACUCUCACAGAGUAACAUGUUUGCCAUUGUGCCCUUCUCUGUGGAGUAGAAUCCCAUCAUUCGACUGUUUUAAUUUUCAAAAAAAUAACUUCUUUUUUUGGACUCAUGGAUUUUUCUUUUAAUGUGAACAGCAAAAGUAACCAUCAAAAGUAACCAUGCUGCAAUGGAAGACAUUAAAAAGUGAUUGUACAGCUCCAUCCCAUUAAUACUGGUGUAGCACAAAAGACAGACAAAAUGACUGCCUGGGUCACCAUGGGUCACUUUGAGAAGGUUUUCAUGACAUGGAGCUGGAAAGAGGAACUGAAGAACAGACUCAAAACCAUGAGCUUCAGUAAUAUGCUGUGGUAUACAUGGCAUCUUGCUGUCCUUGUCCCCCUUCUUCCAAACACACGUACCAGGCCUAUGCCCCUUUUGCUCAUGUCGGGGACCUUAAUAAUAAUCUUGCUUCCCAUAUUUCCCACCAUUGGCAUUCUACAACAUCCCUAUUUGCCUAUGGUCCAAGAGGCCCUCCAACUUCUUAAAACUGUGGACUCCUCUUGAUCCUAUGCAAAUUGUUGGAAAUGUGCCAAUAUUUUCCCACAAAAGGGGCUUGUCACCAUUCCUGUCCCACCUCUUGAAUGGAAUCAGCUAGAAUCUUGUGUAAUUCACUCCUAUUGUGAUUGCUUUGGGUGAGCUAUGAACCCAACAGUUCAAUUCGAAAUAGACCACCUCUACUUAGCUCUCUGUAUAACAAAGCUAGCUUUAAUCUGUCGCGCCCGCCU